AUUGAACGCUGGCGGCAGGCCUAACACAUGCAAGUCGAACGAGUGGCGGACGGGUGAGUAAUGCCUGGGAAACUGCCUGAUGGAGGGGGAUAACUACUGGAAACGGUAGCUAAUACCGCAUACCAUCAGAUGUGCCCAGAUGGGAUUAGCUAUUUGGUGGGGUAACGGCUCACCAAGGCGACGAGCCCUAGCUGGUCGGAGAGGAUGACCAGCAACACUGGAACUUAGACACGGUCCAGACUCCGACGGGAGGCGGCAUGGGGAAUAAUUGCACAAUGGGCGAAAGCCUGAUGCAGCAAUGCCGGGUGUAUGAAGAAGGCCUUCGGGUUGUAAAGUACUUUCAGCGGGGAGGCGUUACCCGCAGAAGAAGCACCGGCUAACUCCGUGCCAACCGCCGCGUUAAUAC
rnacentral:rRNA from 1 species